GAAGGAGUUAGGAUUACGUGUUGGGAGAAAUCCUAUUUACUUUAUCGUCGUUCCACUGUUUGUAUCCAUGGUAUUAGCUACGGGUCUUCACAAGUGGCACGACGAAAGGAACAUGAAAUAUUUAUUUGGACCCAAGAAUACCAGACAUGUUAAAGAAGAAGAAGUUAUAGCACGACUAUUUCCAAUGAAUUUAUCUUCCGAUGCACACAUGGAAAGGAUGAACAGAGAACCAAAUGUAGUAGUAGUCCUAAUUACAGCCAAAGACGAAGGAUCAAUGCUUCGAAAAAAAGUAUUUCGAGAAAUUAUUCAAUUAGAUGAAAUUAUUCAAAAUAUAAAAACUGCGGACAAUUUCACAUACAAUGAUUUGUGCGCACGAAAUAACAAAAGAUGCUUCGAAAAUUCUAUUUUAUUCAUGCAGAAUGAAGUGGAAAUGAUAGAAAACAAAACUUAUACUAUUAAAUAUCCUUUACACGAAAUAAGUCGAUACGAGUAUCAACUGAACAGUUUAUUUUUAGGAGGUGUACAAAAAACUUUAGAAGAUUACGUGAAAAGCGCGAAAGUGUUGAGACUCGUUUACUACUUUAAUGACGAUUCGAGUAUUGACAGAAACAGAGUAGAAGAAUGGCAAAGUUUGUUUUUGGAUCGUAUUGAAUCAAGUAAUUUUGAGUACAUAAUCGUCGAUCGAUACACGUCGAUUACAAUCGAACAGGAACUAUUUAAAGUGUUGUAUCGUUUACUUCCUCAACUUCCGAUUGCAAUGUUAGCAGUAGUAAUCUUUUCAAUGCUGACUUGUCUGUAUAACAGUUGGAUCGAGAGCAAACCUUGGAUCGGAGUCAUUGCAUUAAUAUCGGGAGGAAUGUCUUUGGCUUCGUCAUUUGGAUUGAUCAUGUAUUUUAAUACACCGUUUGUGGCUCCAGCUGGAUCUAUACCAUUUCUAAUUAUAGGUAUAGGCAUGGACGACGCAUUCAUCUUUUUAGCUGCGUGGAAAAAAACCGACCCACAGAAGACCGUACCGGACAGACUCUCAGAAGUUUAUUCGGAAUCCGUCAUUUCUGUUACCGUAACUUCAGUAACGAAUUUCAUAGCCUUCACUUCAGGACUGUUCACCCCUUUCAGAGUAAUAACUUAUGUUUGUUUGUAUGCAUCGGUUGCUGUUGUCUUCUGUUACGUUUAUCAGAUAACGUUUGUUGGGGCUUGAAUGGCAGUCUUUGGAUAUGUGGAGAAACAAGGGAGAGAUUCUUUAUUCUUUACAAAAAUAAAUACUCAGAAAGAAAACCGUUCUUGGAUUCGAAAGUUUCUAUUUUCUAUUCAAUCUUGGAAAUCUACGAAAAAUGAUGUUGCUCCUAAGCCGUCAAUUUUUAUUUGAUUCGGUUAUAUUUUAUCAAUUUGGUACGUGAAAAUAGUUAUUUUCUUCAUCAUCGCCGGACACGUUGCUGUAGCACUUUGGGGCAUGACUCACACGCAUAUUUUCGGGUCACUUUCUGAGGCGGUGACAUAUGAUUCAUAUUUUGCAGAAUAUCAUAAAAAAAUUUUUAACAAUUUCAAUCACUACGAAUACAGAUUCCAAAUCAUUAUCGAUCAAGAAAUAAAUUACGCAGACGUACAAAUUCAGAAUGAAAUAGAGAAUUUUUUCUCAGAAAUGGAGAGAAAAGGAUUAAUUGCAAAUUUUCUUACCGAGUCUUGGCUCAGAUCCUAUUUGAAAUUUCUCAAGGACCGAAGAAUCUCAUUAUCUGUACAAUCAUUUAACAUAAGUGAUACGAAGGAUUUUAUCUCAAUUUUGCGCAGUGUUUUUCUACGUUAUUCUUCUGCACGACGAUUUCGUAAUGAUAUUGCAUUCAACUCUAAUUACUCAGCUAUCGUGGGAAGCAGAUUACUUUGUCAGACUAAAUUUACUACGGAAGAAUCUUCAUAUUUAACUUUUAUAAACAUGAGGAAACUUACUGAAAAAAUGCCUUUUAAAGUUUUUCCGUUUCACUUUUUGGCUUA
rnacentral:misc_RNA from 1 species